CCAUGGGCGCAGCCUGAUGCAGCCAUGCCGCGUGUAUGAAGAAGGCCUUCGGGUUGUAAAGUACUUUCAGCGGGGAGGAAGGGAGUAAAGUUAAUACCUUUGCUCAUUGACGUUACCCGCAGAAGAAGCACCGGCUAACUCCGUGCCAGCAGCCGCGGUAAUACGA
rnacentral:rRNA from 1 species